CGACCGGCGCACGGGUGAGUAACACGUAUCCAACCUGCCGAUGACUCGGGGAUAGCCUUUCGAAAGAAAAGAUUAAUACCCGAUGGCAUAGUUCUUCCGCAUGGUAGAACUAUUAAAGAAUUUCGGUCAUCGAUGGGGAUGCGUUCCAUUAGCUUGUUGGCGGGGUAACGGCCCACCAAGGCAUCGAUGGAUAGGGGUUCUGAGAGGAAGGUCCCCCACAUUGGAACUGAGACACGGUCCAAACUCCUACGGAAGGCAGCAG
rnacentral:rRNA from 1 species